rnacentral:rRNA from 1 species
CAGCCGCCGCGGUAAUACCAGCACCUCGAGUGGUCAGGAGGUUUAUUGGGCCUAAAGCAUCCGUAGCCGGUUGCAUAAGUUUUCGGUUAAAUCUAUGCGCUUAACGUAUAGGCCGCCGAAAAUACUGUGCAGCUAUGGAGUGGGAGAGGUACACGGUACUCGAUAGGAAGGGGUAAAAUCCUUUGAUCUAUUGAUGACCACCUGUGGCGAAGGCGGUGUACCAGAACACGUUCGACGGUGAGGGAUGAAAGCUGGGGGAGCAAACCGGAUUAGAGACCCCCGUAGUCCCUGUCUCUUAUAC